AACGAACGUUGGCGGCGUGGAUUAGGCAUGCAAGUCGAACGCGAAUCCCUGGGCAACUGGGGAGGAGAGUGGCGAAAGGGGCAGUAAGGCGUGGGUAACCUACCCUCCGGGCCGGGAUAGCUUCGGGAAACUCAAGGUAAUACCGGGCGACGCAGCGAGAUCGCAUGGUCUUGCUGCCAAAGGUCCGCCGCCGGGGGAGGGGCUCACGUGGUAUUAGCUAGACGGCGGGGUAACGGCCCACCGUGGCAAAGAUGCCUAGCAGGUGUGAGAGCACGACCUGCGCCACUGGCACUGAGACACUGGCCAGACACCUACGGGUGGCUGCAGUCGAGGAUCUUCGGCAAUGGGCGCAAGCCUGACCGAGCGACGCCGCGUGUGCGAUGAAGGCCUUCGGGUUGUAAAGCACUGUCGAGGGGGAGGAAGCCGCAAGGUUGACCUAUCCCUGGAGGAAGCACGGGCUAAGUUCGUG
rnacentral:rRNA from 1 species